AUUGAACGCUGGCGGCAGGCUUAACACAUGCAAGUCGAGCGGAGAUGAGGUGCUUGCACCUUAUCUUAGCGGCGGACGGGUGAGUAAUGCUUAGGAAUCUGCCUAUUAGUGGGGGACAACAUUCCGAAAGGAAUGCUAAUACCGCGUACGCCCUACGGGGGAAAGCAGGGGAUCUUCGGACCUUGCGCUAAUGGAUGAGCCUAAGUCGGAUUAGCUAGUUGGUGGGGUAAAGGCCUACCAAGGCGACGAUCUGUAGCGGGUCUGAGAGGAUGAUCCGCCACACUGGGACUGAGACACGGUCCAGACUCCUACGGGAGGCAGCAGUGAGGAAUAUUGGUCAAUGGGAGCUAUCCUGAACCAGCAAUGCCGCGUGUGGGAUGAAGGCGCUUCGCGUCGUAAACCACUGUCGGACGGGACGAAAAGAGCUAUAAAGCUCCGAGACGGUACCGUCAAAGGAAGGAUCGGCUAACUACGUGCCAGCCGCCGCGGUAACAC
rnacentral:rRNA from 1 species